AACUGCUGACUGUUAACAUUGAUGAUAAUGAGAAAUGUUUCUUGAGCACCAAAUCGGCAGAGAAUGUAAUGUAAAGAAAUGUGUCUUUUUAUACUUUUCCGACAGCAGACAUCCAAAUAACAAAGUUCUAGUAUUGUUAGUCCCACAAAGAUAAAUGUGUGCCCAGAAGCUCAUUACGGUGAAGGUGAUGUCAUUCAGACGGCAGUACCUAUUUGAUCUGUAGUUCUUAGUGUGCUGGAAUCACGAGUAGGCUUUACUGAACAAACAUUUCACUUUCAGAAGCAUGCGAACGCACGCUCUCACUACCGUGACAGCAAAAUUGAAAGAAAACAGUAGUAUGGGUAUAUACAUAAUAAAGUAAAUAAAGUAAUAAUGUCUUUGGUAAGAUAUGACAAAGAAGCUUUCUUGACAAUAUUGUGUUAAAUAAUAGGCCUACUAGAUAAUAUGAGGUGCUGUCAACUGAAAUGAUUCUGGCUGGUGUGUGUGUGUGAGAGAGAGAGAGACAGAGAAAGAAAAAGACUAGCCUAUAUUUUCACCUGACAAAACAUGCGCCCAUGUCCCGGACUGCUGUCAGAUAGCCAUAAAACUAAAGCCGUCUGUAGAUUACUGUUUUGAGCACAGAGUGUAUGCUGGGAAUGUGAGAAGAAUGCAAGUUAGCACAAAGGGCAAACAGGUAACCUAAAUUACAAAGUAUGUUUGUGUAAUCAGGUGGGUUCAGGUCACUGAAAACCAUGAGAAAAUGUCUUGUAGCAAAACUAUUACAACAGCAAUUGUAAACCUUUAUGUUUAAUAUAGAAUACGCAAAUGAGAGACCAUGAAUUUAGACAAUCCACCCUGCUAAAUCUCAUUUCCUGGAGUUGAGGGCUGUCUUCUCGACAAUAAUGCAAUACAAUAGCCUUACAUGAUAUUUCACCCCAAGAAAUAGCCUACUGAGAGUUUUUUUUUUUUUUUUUUUUUUCAAAAGAUGAGAGAAACCCAUAAAGAUUUGGAGCAACUUGAGGGUGAGUAAAUAAUGACAAAAUGUUCAAUUUUGGGUGAACUACCGGUAUCGCUCUAAUUAAACCAUUUGACCCUAUGAAUCACCCGUAGUUCAAGCCAGCAGCCAGGAUUGCCAGGUCCGCGUUUUUACACCAAACAUUAUUUGUUGGACGCCUCCCUCCCAUACAGUAACCGCAAAGAGCUUUGUGCUUUUGUACUUCUGACUAGAAAAGUCUGCAGACUUCAAAUUCUGUCCAUUUUAUCACAAAAUUUAAACAAUGGCGUUUUGGCGCUCUUAAAUGUGACGUAAUGUAAUGCCUCGCUCGCAGCCUCAGUUCAAGCGGCAACAUGGAGCGCUAGUCUCUUGUUCCUCUUAUAACACGAAAAAAUCAUUCAUGAACAUGAACACCAAAAGGAGUAGAAAAACAGCGAGGGGAAUCCUCCAAAAGCCUCUUGGUAAGAGCCCUCAACUGAAACCCUUGAGCAGACUCUCCCGAUGGGCUUCACUAUCGUCCUGUAUCCAUUAAAACAAGGUGUUAUGGCAGUGAUUCUGUGGGGAACCCGAGGAGACACGCGUAGACCUGCCCUCACCUGAUAGAAGCUGCAAGUGAAAAAGACCCAGAAUUAGAUCUCAUUUGACGAAUCAUCAAGUUUCCAGUUAAAUGAGUCAAACCAAAACACAGAGCAAGUUACAUU